UACGGAGGGUGCAAGCGUUAUCCGGAUUCACUGGGUUUAAAGGGUGCGUAGGUGGGCAGGUAAGUCAGUGGUGAAAUCUCCGGGCUUAACCCGGAACUGCCGUUGAUACUAUUUGUCUUGAAUAUUGUGGAGGUAAGCGGAAUAUGUCAUGUAGCGGUGAAAUGCUUAGAUAUGACAUAGAACACCAAUUGCGAAGGCAGCUUACUACACAACGAUUGACGCUGAGGCACGAAAGCGUGGGGAUCAAACAGG
rnacentral:rRNA from 1 species